rnacentral:lncRNA from 10 species
CUGCCAGGAGUCACAAGGGGCCGAGCAGGAUGAGGAAACCACAGGCGGAGUCCGGGGGAAGCAGCGUGGCAUCCCAGCCUCAGGCCUGCCAGGACGGUGUUCGGGAUCGAGAGGACCACACUGCAGCCCAGGACAAAAGCCCCACGGUAGCACAUUGUCCGGCAGGAGAGGAGCAGACCCACGUCCAAGAAGAUGGUUUUACCUUUCCACGCCCCUUCUCUGCGAAAUGAAGCCACACCACCACACAGUCUUGAAGAGGAAGCCUGGAAUGGGAGACGGCAACAAGCCCCGUCCCUGGAACGCUGGCCUCUCUGGACAAGCCACCCGCUUCGCACCCCUCCUCUUAUGCCCGUGGCGGUGGCACGGCGCUGUAUCCUGCCUGGGCUAUGGCCUCUGCUCUGUCGUCCCUCUUGCUCUGUCUCCCCUGUUUCUGAGCGGCCUAGAUGCCUCUCGGUCUGGCUGAAUAUCUUCUACGAAGAUCACUUCCCCGUCCAUCAGGGAGACACUUCCUGGAGAUCCGUGUCAUGACUGUUUCUCUCUCCAAGCCUGUUUCUGCUGGAUUGCGCAGGUCUGAUGACCCUGGGGCUCUUGGCUUCCAUACGUGUCUCAGACAGGGAAGCUUCCUCGGUCUCCGUGUUUCACCUCAUGGGUGGGUGGAUUGCCUAGGAUGAGCGAGCGCUAGGCCGGCGAGACUGGCCUUGUCUUCUAGGACAAGUGCAUUUCCCCUGCGCUUCCUGUCUCACUCUUGAGGGACAUCCUCUCCUCCGCUCACAGGUGGACAGACUCCCUGGAUCUUUUGGCUGUAACGAAUGUCAGGAAACAGAGGGACUGCGCUGGGACUGGGGCUGGGGCUGCGUGCAGUGGAGGUUGUGUCAGGGCUAGCUGGGUGGUGGAUGGUUG